rnacentral:pre_miRNA from 1 species
CAUAUACUCCCUCCAUCCGAAAAUACUUGUCAUCAAAAUGGACAAAAAGGGAUGUAUCUAGAACUAAAAUACAUCUAGAUACAUCCCAUUUUAUUUAUUUUGAUGACAAGUAUUUCUGGACGGAGGGAGUAGUAU